AGACUGUCCUUUAUAUAAUAAACAGAAAAUACAUGGGUGCUUCGAAAUACCAGAUUUAUUUCUCGUGUUGAACAUGAUAUCUCACUCGUUCGGUGCGCUUACUCGUGAGAAAUGAUGUUCAACACUCGAAAUAAAUCUGGUAUUUCGCGCACCCAUGUAUUAUUCUCUAUAUAUACAACAAUAUUUACGGCCCUGUUAUUUUAUUUUGUCCCAGUGAGCCUGUUCGCAGGCUAUAUUUGUCUAAUGUGUCGGUUUCCUCCACGGAAACCAUUUUCAAAGACUUGACG